UAUUCUCUUGCAGUUCUGCAGCUCAGAAGUCCAAAAUGAAGGGACAGGCAGGGAUGGUUCCUUCUGGAGGCCCUGCAGGGAGAUCUGCUUUCUCAGUUUCGACACCUGCUCACCUCUCCUGGGUAGAAGCCUCUGCUCCCUCUGCAAAGCACAUCCCUCCGGCCUCUGCUCUGCCACCAUCCCUCCGGCCUCCAGCCUCUGCUCUGUCACUGGUGACUUCUCCUGCCUUUGACCUUCUUGCUUCCCUCUUAUCAGGACUCCUGCAAUUGCACAGAGGGCCCACGGCCCACACGAUAAUCCAGGACUGUCCCCUCAUCUAAAGUCCUUAAUUCCACCACUUCUGCACAGCCCCUUUUACCGUGCAAGGCGACACGAUCAUAGGCUCCAGUGAUCAGGACACGGACAUCUGUGCUGGCAGGACAGGGAGGCGUGACUCAGCCCACCACAGGGUGUAAACGGUAUCCAGGACAUGGGGUUUGCCAAACAGCAACAACAAAACCACCCAAUUCUUGUAAAACCAUGUGGUGUGCCAUGUUUUAUGGCAGAGUCAUGACCUGUUCAAGUCCUAAAUCCCAGAAGACGCUGCAUCUGCAGACAUGUUUGCGUGUCGCGCCUGCACAUGGGCCACGCUAAUCUUCUCUGCGUUGGUCCAGUUCUAGUACAUGUGGUCUUUAAAGAGGUGAUUAAGAUAAAAUGAGGCCACUGGGUUGAGCCCUAAUCCGACAGGACUGGUGUCCUCGCAGGAAGAGAUUAGGACACACACGUGUCAAGAGAAGAUGUGAGGACUCAAGGGGAAGACACAGUCCAGGAGCCAAGACACGCAUGACCAAAUGUCUGCUCUGUGUGAGGAACAAAGUCAAGGAGAUAAAAGACCCCGUCCAGACGCACUGCCUCGAAAGGAGACAGCCGUGAACCCUGAGCGACAGAGGCAGGAGCAGCUGUCUGUACCUCGGGAAACAGCUCCGCAGGGCCUUCACCUUCACCAGCCACAGUCACAGCCAGCCGGUCACAGUAGUCAGUAGAUGCUGCCCUUGGGCCAAACAUUUCAGCCAAAUAAACCACAGGCAAGGUCCUGCUCUACCUUUUGAAGUGAGGACACAAACAAUAAACAGCUAUUUCCUUUCUGAUAGUGACAGGUGCUGGGGGGGGUGGCUACACUGGCUGGUGGGGUGGGGGCAGCCCUGCAGAAGCCGGGCUGAGCUGGGACCCCAGUGCGACAGGUGGCGGAGGGAGGGCCAGCGCCUGAGGGGCUGGUGUGGGAAGUAGCUGGCUGGACGCAGAAGCAGAGGAACACCCAAGGGGCUCCCGGAGGAGCAGGGAGGGAGAAGAGGUUUUCUGAGGGGUGGAGGCAGGGGUCGCACGUGCUGGGCCUUCAAGGGCCAUGAAAUGGUUACUCACUGCUAUAUAACAAACCCCCCCAAAAGCAGUGGCUUAACCGGCUACUUACUGUCUCUCAGGAUUACACUGGCUGCCUGGUGCAGCACUGUGCUGGCGUUUAACUACCUUCUCUACAGAAAAAAUCAAAAGCAAAAUAAAAAACCACCCUGAUUUGAAGCAUU